ensembl:lncRNA
GGCUGAAUCCAGCGCCAGCGGGAAGACACUUUCACAGGAUGCGGAGAAGCCUGAGGCUCUGAGAGAUAAUAAGACAAUAACAGUGGAGUCUAUAGAACUGCACUGCCCAAGGUCACAGUGCCCAAGGUCAUGGUGCUUGGAAACUGCAGGACUAGGACCAGCCCUGCCAGAGAGUUGAAGAUUGCAUGCUCCAUCCUUCCCUGUGAGGCCUGUGUUUCUGCACUGGCUCCCGACGCAGCUACCAUGUGGGAUCUUACCUCCCAAGCUGGGAUUCAACCUGUAUCCCCUGCAUUGGAAGGCGAAGUCUUAACCACUGAGUCACCUUGAUUGAUUGACUGGGAAUUCACCACUGGAAGUCACCGUGAUUGACUGAUUCAAGGGGAAGUCUCAUUGGUUCUUAAUUAUACCCAGUAGAGACAUAACCUGUUGGGAGAUAGUUCCAAACCAUCUUCCAUGUGUUUGUUCAUCUUAGGAGAAGAGGCACCGAUCACCUCUGUUUUGGACUAUCUUUUCCAGCAUGUCUGUAUGGGGAAGAGUCUUGAAAGCUAGGAAUUGUGUCCUCUGAAACAAAAGUCAGGCAGGCUUAUUAUCUAGCAUAGUAAAGUGAGUAAGACAGUGUUUCCCUUUGGAUGGAGGGCCAGACAAGCUUACUGCACAUUAUAAAAGAUUUGGGUUCCCACACCCAGAGUCCCUCUCCCGAAACACAACCUGUUGUGUAUUCAGGUGUGAACUGACCCUUUUUGAAUCACCCCAUGGGAAUUUGGGCUUAGAGAACUGACAAAAAUGUUAAUACUCUAACAAUUGCUGUUGCUGUGAGUAGUAAAUUGGCC